rnacentral:ncRNA from 1 species
AAAGGGUGCCCUUUGCGGGGCUGAGAUUAUACCUUCGAACCUGAUGCAGAUAAUGCUGCCGUAGGAAUUGAGUCGAA